rnacentral:rRNA from 1 species
UACGUAGGGUGCGAGCGUUAUCCGGAUUUACUGGGUUUAAAGGGUGCGUAGGUGGGUUGGUAAGUCAGUGGUGAAAUACUUUCGCUUAACGAAGGAACUGCCAUUGAUACUACCAGUCUUGAAUACAGUGGAGGUAGGCGGAAUGCGUCAUGUAGCGGUGAAAUGCUUAGAUAUGACGCAGAACACCAAUUGCGAAGGCAGCUUGCUACACUGUUAUUGACACUGAGGCACGAAAGCGUGGGGAUCAAACAGG